AAUAUGCAGCUAAAUCAAAAUACCGACAAAUCAAAACACCGACAAAUCAAAAUAACGACAAAUCAUACAAACUCCGUAAAAAAUAUGUUUGAAAAAUAUUUACAACAUCAAGUUCUAUAGUCAAGGACUUGGAAGAACGCAAAAAGAAGUUCAACAUAAAAGAACUGGGCACACCCAGGUGUUGGUCUGACCGAGGGUAGUUUUUUUGAAGCGCGGCCAAAGGCCGCCAACGCAAAAAGAAGUUCAACACAAAAGAACUGGGCACACCCAGGUGUUGGUCCGGCUGAGGGUUAUUUUUUUUAAGCGCGGCCAAAGGCCGCCAACGCAAAAAGAAGUUCAACACAAAAGAACUGGGCACACCCAGGUGUUGGUCCGACCGAGGGUAAUUUUUUUGAAGCGCGGCCAAAGGCCGCCAACGCAAAAAGGAGCUCAACGCAAAAUAACUGAACACACUCAGGUGUUGGUCCGACCGAGGGUAAUUUUUUUGAAGCGCGGCCAAAGGCCGCCAACGCAAAAAGGAGCUCAACGCAAAAUAACUGAACACACCCAGGUGUUGGGCUGACCGAAGGUAAUUUUUGAAGCGCGGCCAAAGGCCGCCAAUGCAAAAAGGAGCUCAACGCAUAAUAACUGAACAAACCGAGGUGUUGGUCCGACCGAGGGUAAUUUUUUUGAAACGCGGCCGAAGGCCGCCAACGUAAAAGAAGUUCAAGACAAAAGAACUGGGCACACCCAGGUGUUGGUCCGACCGAGGGUAAUUUUUUUGAAGCGCGGCCGAAGGCCGCCAACGCAAAAAGAAGUUCAACGCAAAAGAACUGAGCACGCCCAGGUGUCGGUAUUAUGAGUUGUCGGUGUUUUGAUUUUUCGAUAUUUUGAUUUGUCGGUGUUUUGAUUUGUCGGUAUUUUGAUUUGUCGGUGUUUUGAUUUGUCGGUGUUUUGAUUUGUCGGCAUUUUGAUUGUCGGAAUUAUAAAUUUCGAGAUUUUGAUUGUCGGCAUUACGUUAUACACCCCUUUUGCGUUGAAUUUUUUUUUGCGUUGGCGGACCAACACCUGGAUGUGCUCAGUUCUUUUGCGUUGAACUCUUUUUUGCGUUUAA